rnacentral:tRNA from 1 species
GGGUCGUUAGCUCAGCUGGUAGAGCAGCGGACUUUUAAUCCGUUGGUCGGGAGUUCGAAUCUCCCACGACCUACCA